ensembl:rRNA 5S_rRNA 5S ribosomal RNA
CAGCUGUGCCACCCUGGAGACGUCUGAUCUCAGCUGCUAAGCAGAGUUAGGCCUAGUUAGUCCUUGUAUGGGUGACCACCUAGAACUAGCAAGCACUGCAAGGU